UACAGAGGGGCAAGCGUUGUUCGGAAUUACUGGGCGUAAAGGGCGCGUAGGCGGCCUUCUAAGUCGAACGUGAAAUCCCCGGGCUCAACCCGGGAACUGCGUCCGAUACUGGAAGGCUUGAAUCCGGGAGAGGGAUGCGGAAUUCCAGGUGUAGCGGUGAAAUGCGUAGAUAUCUGGAGGAACACCGGUGGCGAAGGCGGCAUCCUGGACCGGUAUUGACGCUGAGGCGCGAAAGCUAGGGAGCAACGGG
rnacentral:rRNA from 1 species